UUGGGACUGGAUAAACGCUGAAAGCAUCUAAGCGUGAAGCCAACCUCAAGAUGAGAUUUCCCAUAGCGUAAGCUAGUAAGACUCCUGGAAGAACACCAGUUGAUAGGUCAGAGAUGUAAGCAUGGCAACAUGUUAAGUUGACUGAUACUAAUAAGUCGAGGGCUUGACCAAAA
rnacentral:rRNA from 1 species